rnacentral:rRNA from 1 species
CAGUAGCCGCGGGAACACGUAGGGUGCAAGCGUUAAUCGGAAUUACUGGGCGUAAAGCGUGCGUAGGCGGCUUCUUAAGUCGGAUGUGAAAUCCCUGAGCUUAACUUAGGAAUUGCAUUCGAUACUGGGAAGCUAGAGUAUGGGAGAGGAUGGUAGAAUUCCAGGUGUAGCGGUGAAAUGCGUAGAGAUCUGGAGGAAUACCGAUGGCGAAGGCAGCCAUCUGGCCUAAUACUGACGCUGAGGUACGAAAGCAUGGGGAGCAAACAGGAUUAGAUACCCCUGUAGUCCCUGUCUCUUAUAC